UGUGAUCAAUUUAUUUGGCAAUCGCCAAUGGCAGUUAGCAGGGUUUAAGAACAUCAGUUGUUCGACCUGUUAGUCAAAUGCGUUUUGUUAAAAUAUACUUUUUUCACUUUUUUUUUGUCUUCUGGAAAAUGUUGUUUGUGCUGUAUUUAGACCCUUCUACAACGAAAUUUGUUUUACAUGCGCACGAAUAAAAAUUGCGGUUUUUAUCCAACGCAAUCAUAGGUUUGAACGUAG
rnacentral:lncRNA from 1 species